rnacentral:rRNA from 1 species
CACUCUAGCGAGACUGCCGGUAAUAAACCGGAGGAAGGUGGGGAUGACGUCAAAUCAUCAUGCCCCUUAUGACCCUGGGCUACACACGUGCUACAAUGGUUGGUACAACGAGUUGCGAGUCGGUGACGGCGAGCUAAUCUCUUAAAGCCAAUCUCAGUUCGGAUUGUAGGCUGCAACUCGCCUACAUGAAGUCGGAAUCGCUAGUAAUCGCGGAUCAGCACGCCGCGGUGAAUACGUUCCCGGGCCUU